rnacentral:rRNA from 1 species
UACGUAGGGUGCAAGCGUUGUCCGGAAUUAUUGGGCGUAAAGAGCUUGUAGGCGGUUUGUCGCGUCUGCUGUGAAAUUUCGGGGCUCAACCCCGAACUUGCAGUGGGUACGGGCAGACUAGAGUGUGGUAGGGGGAGACUGGAAUUCCUGGUGUAGCGGUGAAAUGCGCAGAUAUCAGGAGGAACACCGGUGGCGAAGGCGGGUCUCUGGGCCGAUACUGACGCUGAGGAGCGAAAGCGUGGGG